GAGAGGAGGAGGGUGGAGGAAGAGAGGACAACAGACCCCUGCGAGGAAAUCAACGAGAGGAACGAGGGGGAGGACCAAAGAGGAGCCUACUGCAGCCCCUGAAGCAUCAGCCCCGCCCACUUCACUUGACACUCCCUCCUCAUUGGUCCAAGAUGAUGUGACCUCAGAGGUGGACAGCCAACCAGCUGCCUCUGCCUCAGUUCCAUACCUCCAAGAGAAAGAGGCUGAAGCCCCAGCAGACCAACCCAGCCUGGAGGCCUCCUCGGCUGGGCAGGAGACGCAGCCUGACCCCACUGAGAAUCAGAGUCUGGAGGGGAAACAGGAGACGGCAGAUAUCACUGAUGGCAAGACUGAUUCCAGAACAACAGCACUCAAAGAAGACCGUAAACAGAGAAGAGAGGAAGAGGAGUCUGAAUCAAAGCGUUGUCGUUCUGAGUCUCCUCUGAUCACAGACUUCAAACUGCCUCCCUUCACCCCUGACAACCCUAUAGAAAUAUUACCUGAAGCGUCAGAAGCAACAAGCAGGAGGUUCUAGCCAAGGCUCCGCCUCCAAAUGACCCCUGACCUCACCCUGGAUCUGUCUCAAAUGUGACCAUUUUCCCAACAUAGUGCACUACUUUGGACCAGACUCCAUAGUGCUCCGGUUGAAAUGGAAUAAGGGGCCAUUUGGGACACAGGCCACACACCAUAUAAUAUGACAGAGAUUUUAGUUUAAUGGAUUUGUUUAUUUGCUUUUUGGAUUUGAAUAUCAUUAAACUUCUGUUUAAUUUAACCAGAGAAACUCAGUCAGCAGAGACAAGACAUAAUGUAUGUAUAAGGAGAAAAUAAUAAAUUUGUUUUAUUAAAAACA